GCUUACGGCCAUACCACUCUGAGCACGCCCGAUCUCGUCCGAUCUCGGAAGCCAAGCAGGUGUGGGGCCUGGUUAGUACUUGGACGAGAGACGCCUGGGAAUACCAGGUGCUGUAAGCU
rnacentral:rRNA from 1 species